rnacentral:rRNA from 1 species
GAUGAACGCUGGCGGCGUGCUUAACACAUGCAAGUCGAACGAUGAAGCUCAGCUUGCUGGGUGGAUUAGUGGCGAACGGGUGAGUAACACGUGAGUAACCUGCCCUUAACUCUGGGAUAAGCCUGGGAAACUAGGUCUAAUACCGGAUAGGAGCGCCUACCGCAUGGUUGGUGUUGGAAAGAUUUAUCGGUUUUGGAUGGACUCGCGGCCUAUCAGCUUGUUGGUGAGGUAAUGGCUCACCAAGGCGACGACGGGUAGCCGGCCUGAGAGGGUGACCGGCCACACUGGGACUGAGACACGGCCCAGACUCCUACGGGAGGCAGCAGUGGGGAAUAUUGCACAAUGGGCGAAAGCCUGAUGCAGCGACGCCGCGUGAGGGAUGACGGCCUUCGGGUUGUAAACCUCUUUCAGUAGGGAAGAAGCGAAAGUGACGGUACCUGCAGAAGAAGCACCGGCUAACUACGUG